rnacentral:rRNA from 1 species
AGGCUUAACACAUGCAAGUCGAGCGCCCCGCAAGGGGAGCGGCAGACGGGUGAGUAACGCGUGGGAAUUUACCUUUUGCUACGGAAUAACGCAGGGAAACUUGUGCUAAUACCGUAUGUGUCCUUCGGGAGAAAGAUUUAUCGGCAAGAGAUGAGCCCGCGUUGGAUUAGCUAGUUGGUGGGGUAAAGGCCUACCAAGGCGACGAUCCAUAGCUGGUCUGAGAGGA